GGAGAUAUAGCUCAGUGGUAAGAGUGUUUGUCUGUUGUGCAUGAAGUCCUGGGUUCAAUCCCCAGCACUG
rfam:Cricetulus griseus cell line CHO-K1, whole genome shotgun sequence.